rnacentral:lncRNA from 1 species
AUACUUUGGGGACAUCUGGAUUUCUGACAGUUCCUCAGAUGAUUCUGAUGUUCACCAAAGGUUGAGAACCACUGCACUAUUCCUAGGAAAUUUUACUCAUUGUCGUUGGUCACUGCCUCCACAACCACAAGUAUCGGGACAGUUCUAAAUCUUACCAUAACUGGUGUUUCACUGUCUCUUACCCGUUCCUGACAAUGCAGACUCCCAGCCUCCAGUAAAGUUGGUACCAAACGCCUUUGGAGUUCCCUGGCAGUGACUCACACGUGCUCAUGACAAAUCCGGUCCACAGUCCUACAGCUGCCGUGUGUCAACCUCAAUUUCCACCUUCACCUCUUGUCCCCCUUGGCUGGAUGUUGCAUCCAUUGGGCAUCCUGUUUCUGCUGGGCACCACAGUCUCCUCCCUCAGUCGAGGAUGAUGGGAGGCACCCAAGCUGACGAUGUUCUGUUACAGAGUGGGCAAAGCUGGUCAUCUUCGGCACACCAAAUACAGAGAGACAAGCAUCUGCACAUAUUUUUCCAGACACUACAGAGGUGUCACUCACCAAUGAUGACCAUGCCUCCCUAGUGUCCUGCUGCCAAUCAAGAACCACGUGGUUGCCAAGCAGACCUCAAGGUGAGAGAAGCCACUCCCUUGCUUUCACUUAACACGCUAGAUCAACGUCCUGCCCAAAUUCAGUGCUUGAAACAGAUCUAAUAGGAAGCAAUGGGAAUGUAGCCACUGAAAGAAAAGAAAAAUAUGGACAAUCCCAAAUGGUGAAUAAUUCCAAGUCCAAAUCUCAAAUUUUCAGUCUAAGUGAAAGAUAAAAGAGGGAGAGAGAGAGAGAGAAAAUAACCUAAAAAAGUAAGGGAAGAUGAUAAAUACU